GUGCCAGCAGCCGCGGUAAUACGGAGGAUGCAAGCGUUAUCCGGAUUUAUUGGGUUUAAAGGGUGCGCAGGCGGAUCGUUAAGUCAGCGGUGAAAUGUCCCGGCUCAACCGGGGCCCUGCCGUUGAUACUGGCGGUCUUGAGUACAGACGGCGCCGGCGGAAUGUGUCAUGUAGCGGUGAAAUGCUUAGAUAUGCCACAGAACACCGAUCGCGAAGGCAGCUGGCGAGGCUGAUACUGACGCUCAGGCACGAAAGCGUGGGGAUCAAACAGGAUUAGAUACCCUGGUAGUCCACGCAGUAAACGAUGAUAACUUGUUGUCGGCGAUAGACCGUUCGGUGACAAAGCGAAAGCGAUAAGUUAUCCACCUGGGGAGUACGAUCGCAAGGUUGAAACUCAAAGGAAUUGACGGGGGCCCGCACAAGCGGAGGAGCAUGUGGUUUAAUUCGAUGAUACGCGAGGAACCUUACCUAGACUCAAAUGUUGAGCGACCGUUCCAGAGAUGGGACUUCCCUUCGGGGCGCUCAGCAAGGUGCUGCAUGGUUGUCGUCAGCUCGUGCCGUGAGGUGUCAGGUUAAGUCCUAUAACGAGCGCAACCCCUACGUCCAGUUGCCAGCGGGUUAAGCCGGGGACUCUGGAGGAACUGCCUACGCAAGUAGAGAGGAAGGUGGGGAUGACGUCAAAUCAGCACGGCCCUUACGUCUAGGGCGACACACGUGCUACAAUGGCCGGUACAGAGGGCAGCCACCCCGCGAGGGGGAGCGAAUCUCGAAAGCCGGUCUCAGUUCGGAUCGGAGUCUGCAACUCGACUCCGUGAAGUUGGAUUCGCUAGUAAUCGCGCAUCAGCCAUGGCGCGGUGAAUACGUUCCCGGGCCUUGUACACACCGCCCGU
rnacentral:rRNA from 1 species